AAAAAACACCGUCUUCCUUUAAUUGACUCUCUCUCUUUUUCUGGCAAAAAAGGAAGCACCAUGCAGUUGAAGCGAGAAAAAGCUGCGAUGUCCCAGCGGUUGUUGAUGUCGUUGUACUGCUGCUGGAUCUCGACGCUGUCGAAAUCAGUCGGUGAGAUGGUGCUCAUGGUCACAGCUGGAAACUCAACAGCUGCCCUGAAAAUCAGAGAAGCACAAAAUAAGACAAUGACAAACAAACUCUUUAUUAGUGAAUGUGACAGAGGAAAGAUGGAGGAUAGGAUAUUAGUCACAUCUGCAUCACAGUUGCUGCACAUUUGGCUGCAAAGCCUUAUGCUGGACAAGGUGGGUCAAAACAUUAUAAUAUUAAAAUAUAUUUAUAACAAAAAAUAAUGUAUAAACUAUGUUCAAAUAUGGCUGAAGAAAAAAAAAAAAAAAAAAAAAAAAAAAAAAAAAGGUCAGCAGCAGACAGUAAGCGGAUGAGGUUAGUCCAGCCUGGUACAGCAAAACUGGGCCCACCUGUGGCCUGUUGCAUGAAGCCGGUUUAAGAUGCUACCCAGGUAAGUUUGAGCAAACUCUAGUUUUUCAGGCUCAAGAAGGUGGAUUGAUUUUUAGCGGGGUUCAUCGCCAUGGUGGACAUACGCUACACAGCUAACCUGCUCCAGAGGUUAUUCUGGUUUUAUUCUGGGUUAGAGAUCGCAAACCAAAACUGGACCAAUCAGCUGUGAGUAAAGUGACAUAUCUGAUUCAAUAAUGCCACACCCCCUGUAUCUCUCACUCCAAAUUAAAGCAGUUUAGAGUGAAAGAAUUUUACAGCUAAUUAUUUAUAUUAGAUUAUAAUUAUGUAUAAUUCAUAUAAUUAUUAUAUUAACUGACAAUAAAUAUUAAAGUUUGCUUUUAAAUUAAUAAAUACAAGCUUUAAUAUAUAAAACUUUUAAACCGAUUAAACUUGCAUUGAUAUAGUCAGAUAUUUUUUUUGUUUCAGCUGCCUUCUCCAACGUUUGCUGCAGCAGCAGUACUUAUGCCUGACAUUAGAACAGGGGCCAGAAUUAACAAAGGCCAAAUGGAAACAAAGAGCUUUGCUAAAUAAGUCAUUUUUUCAUUUAAAACAAAUUUAUUCUAGCCCUCACUGAUAUUAAAUAAAUAGCUUAUUUUUUAAAUAAAUAUAAAAUGUUCUUAAUUGACCCAUUUUUGGCAGAUAUGGCAAAAGUUCAUUUUGGACCCUGCAUGUGACCUUUGUGCUGCUGAAAUGUUAUGGCACAACAAAAUAUUACAAAAUGCAACAAACUUUUUUUUUUCCAUCGAGGAAAAAAAGCACAAAACAAUUCUUAGUGCAGGAAGAAAUAGUUAACAUGAAGAUAAGCUAAGAUUAAUUCAAACCUAAACCAAAACACAGAUUAAAUGAAAUCCCUCAUGCCCUCCUUCAGACUGAGCAAUCCCUCGUGCUAAUCCCACCACAAAGAUGAGUUCUUAGAAUCUAGAGAUUCUGGAAGGAAAAAGAGAAUUGCCUGUAGCGCAGAGUUUAUCCCAUAAUUGUUUCAGGGCAUUACAAACCUCCAGGGCCAGAAGAUGAGGUAAAAUGUGCAUCCCUCAUACACUGCUCUUUCUUUCUCUGUUUUGCACUGAAACAUACGCCUAGACUGUACUGUACCUAGGACACUAGACUCUCUCUGAGAUAGUAUGCAUAGCCUAGUGAAGAAAAAAAAACAAUACCAAAACUUAUUUAAAAUACAUUUAUUUCAUACUAAGUAUACUAUAAAAUACAUUACCAUAUUUACUGACAUAAUGCUUAAGACUUAUUGGUAUAAAUAUUAUAAUUAAACUUUAUUUAGAGUACAUAUCCCUUUGUUUCAGCAAAUUCAGAGCAUCAGUGCAACUUCAGAUGAAGUUGAUGGCUCCAAACCUAGUGAGCAUUUUAAGAAAGCAAAGAAAGACACGCCAAAAUUAUUGCUUUUUUCUAAGAAACAUUUAAAAUUUUAAGGCAGCAUUGCAUGUAUCCUUUGCAGAGAAUGCAAUACCAUAAUGCAGUCUGACAAGCUUAGUGGGGGAAAAAAAAAAAUCUACCCAAGAUGACAAAGUGGGAGCAAUGUUGAUUAUAAAAUAAUCAUUUAACUGGAUUUCUGUAAAUAUGUAAUUUUACGAUUGAAGUAUUGUAUUUUUAGCUUACCAACAUGCUAAAACCAACUCCAAACAAUUAAGUUUGGAGUCUCCUGUUUACUUCUGUGUGCUAUCUGUAGGUUGUUUUUGUAUGUCCCCUAUGUAGAACAUUUCUAAAUCAGUCCCUUAUAAGGUUUUACUUCAUUUCAGCUACCUUAGAUGUUGGCAGUAGACAGCAAGGCACCUCAAUAGGUGGAACAGAGCCAGCGUGUGCAUCCUUUCAUGCAGGGUCCAGCUUUAAUCCACUCGCCUCACCCUGAGCAUCACUUCACCGACAGCUCCAUCAGUCUUAAGGGGAGCAGGAAGGGUGGGGGGCUGGACUCUAGAGGAUACAAAAGGCCUUCCAGGGACACACAAACAAAAGGAACCCCAGGUUGACUUGGCAGGAGUGUUUGGGAAAUCUGUAGGUGCCAUAACUAUACACUGCAGCUUUAAGAAUACUGACUACAUAUGUGGGUGUCACCAUCAAGAUUGUCUUCAUACGAACAUAUACAUAGUGAAAACACACACUGAAUCAAUCAAACUCAAGGGUUAAACAAGUAAAAGAUAUAGAUGGACAGACUUGAUGGACGGACAGACAGACAGAGUGUAUAUGUUGCAUCAUUAUAUGGUCUGAGAAGACAGAAAACAAGUAUAUUUCUGUGAUACAGCUCAAUGAAUGUGUGUGAGCGGUAGUUUGUGUGCAUGUGGCACACACAGCAAGAUAAACCCAUAUUUUGGAGGGAUCUCAAGCCAAACAAAGAAAGAAGGAGGGCUGUUUCAAAUCCCAUUAGCGUGUAGAAUAAGGAAGUGCUGAAAAUAGAGACUGGACAUAGAGCAGUUAUCCUGGAUUACACCCACACACUCCUCUAGCGCCUCAGUUACUGACACAACACACACACACACUCUCUCCUGUCAAAUAUCUAUCAGCCAUGUUACUAAAAUCAGCAUUUUGAUUUGCUCAGCUCUCAGCAGCAGUUUCAUAACACCAGUGACAGAUGCUUCAUAUCACUGUGUUUCAAUGAAACAGGGUUUCAUGCAUUGUUUUAGGUUGUUCAUAAUUUACACCUAGUUGCACUUUAUGACCAUAAAAAUGAUUGUACAGCAAAUUUAACAAAUUGUGGAGCAUAUUUUAACGUAUUUUGUCUUAAGUGUGAAACCCUGUCUGACAGAGUCUUUGAUGAGUAUUAGUAUUUCAGAUUUUUCCUUUCUGUAUUUCAGUUACCCGAUUCAUAAAUGAUGAGCUAAUUUAUAACAACUUUAUUUUUUUCAGACAUAAUAAAGUUUCAGUUAUAUCUUGGCAAA